rnacentral:rRNA from 1 species
CCUACGGGGGGCAGCAGUGAGGAAUAUUGGUCAAUGGCCGGAAGGCUGAACCAGCCAAGCCGCGUGAAGGACAAAGGUUCCAAGCAUUGUACACUUCUUUUGUCAAGGGACAAACUCCGGCUCGAGCGUCUGACCGCGGGUACUUGAAGAACAAGCAUCGGCUAACUCCGUGCCAGCAGCCGCGGUAAUACGGAGGAUGCGAGCGUUAUCCGGAUUUAUUGGGUUUAAAGGGUGCGUAGGCGGACUGUUAAGUCAGCGGUAAAAGCCCGGGGCUCAACCCCGGCGAGCCGUUGAAACUGGCAGUCUGGAGAUGUCGAGAGGUAUGCGGAAUGCGCAGUGUAGCGGUGAAAUGCUUAGAUAUUGCGCAGAACUCCGAUUGCGAAGGCAGCAUACCGGAGGCGAUCUGACGCUGAGGCACGAAAGCGUGGGUAUCGAACAGGAUUAGAUACCCUGGUAGUC